CAUGAAGUACUGGCAUGCAGCAUGUUAGCUGUGAAAUCUCCAGAAAUGGUAAUGACCCAAGUUUUGGAUCCAGUAGUAGAAUCUCUGAAUGACAAGCAUCUGCCAGAUCGUCUGCUUCUGCUGAUGCUUCCUGCAAGCAUUUGUUUGGAAAAAAAGGAAGCACUCGUACUCCAGUGGCUUUGAAAGUACUUUUACCCUUGUUGCCACUCUAGCUGAUGCAGUAAACGGACACACGAGAACGCCUGCUGUGAGGAACCACAGAAGUUCUGAUAAAAAAAUCAUGUGAUACACCCCGAGGAGGCUCUAUCAAGAUUUGAGGACACCAAAGACUGUAUUCAGUCUCCAUCAGCUAAAGAAACCAGAAAAGAUCCUUCAACAGAAGAUUUCAGACAGCUCAAGAGUAAGGAGAGAUGCGGCAGAAGGUACAGAAAACUGUUCCAGCUACCUAUCAGGAAGUAGACGUCCAACCACGUAAGAGAAGGCUUGUGAGGCUUCAUAUUUAUCCUGGUUGCAAAUACUAGAGACUGUUUUUUACCUGAUGUAUAGAUGUGACAUGCUGACCUAAAAGUGAUACGGCAUUUACCAGUGUCUGAUGUUUAUCUGUCAUGC